rnacentral:antisense_RNA from 1 species
CUUCAGCGACCCCAGCCACAGCGGGCUGUGCGCCUCGCGGUCCUGGCCGUAGGUGGCCAGCAGUGCUUCGGCUUC